GGCCUGGCUGUCCGGUCCCCCUCACCGGGUGCACUGGUUCGGCCGGGCCUUUCCUUCUGGCAAGCCGCAUGCCCUUUACUGGGUGUGUUGGGGAACCAGGACUGUUACUUUGAAAAAAUUAGAGUGUUUAAAACAGGCAUUUUGCUUGAAUACAUUAGCAUGGAAUAACGGAAUAGGACU
rnacentral:rRNA from 1 species